rnacentral:rRNA from 1 species
GACGAACGCUGGCGGCGUGCUUAACACAUGCAAGUCGAACGGAAAGGCCCCUUUGGGGGUACUCGAGUGGCGAACGGGUGAGUAACACGUGAGUAACCUGCCCUUGACUUCGGGAUAACUUCAGGAAACUGGGGCUAAUACCGGAUAGGAAUCCUUGCUGCAUGGUGGGGGUUGGAAAGCUUCGGCGGUUUUGGAUGGACUCGCGGCUGAUCAGCUUGUUGGUGGGGUAGUGGCUUACCAAGGCUUUGACGGGUAGCCGGCCUGAGAGGGCGACCGGCCACAUUGGGACUGGGAUACGGCCCAGACUCCUACGGGAGGCAGCAGUGGGGAAUAUUGCACAAUGGGCGGAAGCCUGAUGCAGCAACGCCGCGGGCGGGAUGACGGCCUUCGGGUUGUAAUCCGCUUUCAGCAGGGGCGAAGCUUGUGGUGACGGUACCUGCAGAAGAAGCACCGGCUAACUACGUG